rnacentral:misc_RNA from 1 species
GAUUAAGAACGUAGCGAAAUGCGAUAAGUAGUGUGAAUUGCAGAAUUCAGUGAAUCAUCGAAUCUUUGAACGCACAUUGCGCCCUUUGGUAUUCCUUAGGGCAUGCCUGUUCGAGCGUCAUUUAAACCUUCAAGCUAAGCUUGGUGUUGGGUGACUGUCCGCUUCACGGCGGACUCGCCUCAAAAUUAUUGGCGGCCGGUACAUUGGCUUCGAGCGCAGCAGAAACGCGAACUCGGGCCCGUCGUAUUGGCUCCCAGAAGCUAUCUUCACAAUUUUGACCUCGGAUCAGGUAGGGAUACCCGCUGAACUUAAGCAUAUCAAUAAGCGGAGGA